UACGAAGGUGGCAAGCGUUACUCGGAAUUACUAGGCGUAAAGGGCAGGUAGGUGGUUUGAUAAGUCUGUUGUGUAAGCUCCUGGCUUAACUGGGAGAGGUCAACGGAAACUAUCAGGCUUGAGUAUAGGAGAGGGUACUGGAAUUCCCGGUGUAGCGGUGAAAUGCGCAGAUAUCGGGAGGAACACCUAUGGCGAAGGCAGCUCGCUGGGACGUUACUGACGCUGAGACGCGAAAGCGUGGGGAGCAAACAGG
rnacentral:rRNA from 1 species